rnacentral:rRNA from 1 species
UGAGGAAUAUUUGGCAAUGAGCGAAAGCUUGACCAAGCAAUACCGCGUGAAGGAUGAAGGCUUUUGGGUUGUAAACUUCUUUUGUCGAUGAAGAACUUGUGACUUUAGUCGAAGAAUAAGCACCGGCUAAUUACGUGCCAGCAGCCGCGGUAAUACGUGAGGUGCAAGCGUUGUACGGAAUUAUUGGGCGUAAAGCGUCUGUAGAUGGUAUAUUAAGUUCUUUGUUAAAUCCUAAGGCUUAACCUUAGUUAGGCAUGGAAUACUGAUAUACUAGAGUAUGAUAAGGGUAAGAGGAAUUUCUAGUGUAGCGGUGAAAUGCGUAGAUAUUAGAAAGAACACCAAUGGCGAAAGCAUCUUACUAGGUCAAUACUGACAUUCAGAGACGAGAGCGAAGGGAGCAAAAC